rnacentral:rRNA from 1 species
ACAACAUGGCCAUCCAGCAGCAAGGCGGCGGCCACGACGAGUGGUACCUUGACUCCGGCGCCUCGUCCCAUGUCACCGGCAACGCAGGAUCUAGCCACUCGGACCCCUCUCCUGACCUGCAGUAGCUACGGGCAGCUCUAUUCGUUCUCCGGCGGCGCCAACAAACACUCCGCUCUCCUCUUCGCGACCGUCGGCGACUUAUGGCAUCAGAGACUUGGACACCCCAGUGCUGCUGCUGCCCUCUCUCGCAUGCGCCAUGAUUUCCUUCCUUCAUGUAAUAAACCACUUCACCCGUGUGGUUCGUGU